GAUCCUGGCUCAGGACGAACGCUGGCGGCGUGCCUAAUACAUGCAAGUAGAACGCUGAAGAGAGGAGCUUGCUCUUCUUGGAUGAGUUGCGAACGGGUGAGUAACGCGUAGGUAACCUGCCUUGUAGCGGGGGAUAACUAUUGGAAACGAUAGCUAAUACCGCAUAACAAUGGAUGACUCAUGUCAUUUAUUUGAAAGGGGCAAAUGCUCCACUACAAGAUGGUCCUGCGUUGUAUUAGCUAGUAGGUGAGGUAACGGCUCACCUAGGCGACGAUACAUAGCCGACCUGAGAGGGUGAUCGGCCACACUGGGACUGAGACACGGCCCAGACUCCUACGGGAGGCAGCAGUAGGGAAUCUUCGGCAAUGGGGGCAACCCUGACCGAGCAACGCCGCGUGAGUGAAGAAGGUUUUCGGAUCGUAAAGCUCUGUUGUAAGUCAAGAACGAGUGUGAGAGUGGAAAGUUCACACUGUGACGGUAGCUUACCAGAAAGGGACGGCUAACUACGUGCCAGCAGCCGCGGUAAUACGUAGGUCCCGAGCGUUGUCCGGAUUUAAUGGGCGUAAAGCGAGCGCAGGCGGUUUGAUAAGUCUGAAGUUAAAGGCUGUGGCUCAACCAUAGUUCGCUUUGGAAACUGUCAAACUUGAGUGCAGAAGGGGAGAGUGGAAUUCCAUGUGUAGCGGUGAAAUGCGUAGAUAUAUGGAGGAACACCGGUGGCGAAAGCGGCUCUCUGGUCUGUAACUGACGCUGAGGCUCGAAAGCGUGGGGAGCGAACAGGAUUAGAUACCCUGGUAGUCCACGCCGUAAACGAUGAGUGCUAGGUGUUGGAUCCUUUCCGGGAUUCAGUGCCGCAGCUAACGCAUUAAGCACUCCGCCUGG
rnacentral:rRNA from 1 species